rnacentral:lncRNA from 1 species
AUGAUCUCCUUGUCUUUGCAUUUCUAUUUGUUUGGAGGGAAACAUGUUCCAAACAUCCCAGGUGAAGACCCUGCUAUCUAUAGUAAGGAUGUUGCUAAUAUUGUUGCAUCAGAUAUUGAAUAUGCUUGUGUUGAUGCUGAUGAAGAAGGAAAAGGGUGUCAGAUAGUGGAAGGGAGACAUGGAUUUGGUGCGACUGGUAUAUGGUCGAUGGGUCAAGGUCGGUUGUUGAUGAUGUGUGCGUUUUCGGCGGAAACACGAUUACUGGUUCGUAGAGGAAGGUUGUAG